GUGUUGCUGGUGGGUGGGUGUGCGAGGAGAGGCUGCUAAUUAACCCCCCUAAUUAGGCUUUGCACAGACUGAUACUGAAAUAAGCCUGCCUUCUGCAAUGCACAUACACAGGUGUUAGGGAGGCAUCGGGGCAGGGAAUGCUGGUUAGCAUGAAGGUUCCAAAAUGAACGAGCAGGGAAAUGGAUAAUCCACAUGGAGGCCUGGCUCUGUGAGUUGAAGGAGGCUUAAGAACUUCUCUGCCUUUGUCCAGGGGCCACAUCAGAGAGAAAGACUCUACAGCUUGCCCAGAGUCGAGCUUAAAUGGAGCAGCAUGAUUUUUGUCUGAAAAGUCUGAGAUGGGACCAGUGGAAAGGUGUGCAUUUUAAGAAGGAUUUGCUUCCCCAUCUUGUGCCUUCUGUGUCUUGCAGCACGACCUGGCCCUCCACCUAGGAAUCAUACCUUCAUCCCCCAUACUCAUAAGCAUCCUCAUUCCUGUUUCCUUGUGGAUGUCAUGGUCUGCUGUGAAGUCUGCUUGGUGACCCGUCCAGACCUGACUUGGUAUAAAUGAUUUUGUUGCAGAGAAUAACAAAGUCUCAGUGUUUAUUUGGCAUCUGUUGGGAUAUCUGGAACCCUAAACAGAACGGAGGGGAGCUGGGGUCAUGUCCCUUCUUUAAUGAUUGGGAAGACUGAGGCUUAGACUGUGCUGAGUCACUGCUCCCAGGUCACCCAGCCUGAAGGGGUUUCUUAGUCUGGGUUCCCCUAGAAGCAGGCUCUGAGACCAGAGUUUGAGUCUAAGUAAUUUAUUUGGGAGCUGGGCCCAGAAAACACAAAUGGAUGGUGAGACAAGCAGGAAGGCAGCCCACAAAGGGCAGGUUUUCAAGCCACCUAUCCCUGGUGGCAACUGGAGCCUAAUCCCCCUGGGAAACCAUCAAGCCUCAGAAUGGGACCACCUGAGGAGUGAG
rnacentral:lncRNA from 1 species